rnacentral:rRNA from 1 species
AGAGUUUGAUCAUGGCUCAGGAUGAACGCUUGCGGCGCGCCUAACCCAUGCAAGUCGUACGAUCCCGCAAGGGAGAGUGGCGGAAGGGUGCGUAACACGUAGAAAUCUACCUCGCCGGAGGGAAUAACCCCUCGAAAGAGGGGCUAAUACCCAAAAGGAUCCGCAAGGAUCAGAGUCCGCAAGGGCCUGGCGAGAGGAGUCUGCGGCCCAUCAGCUAGUUGGUGAGGUAAUGGCUUACCAAGGCUACGACGGGUAGGGGGUCUGAGAGGAUGUCCCCCCACACUGGAACUGAAACACGGUCCAGACGCCUACGGGUGGCAGCAGGGAGGAAUAUUGGACAAUGGGGGAAACCCCGAUCCAGCAACGCCGCGUGAGGGAUGAAGGCCUUCGGGUUGUAAACCUCUUUUCAGGGAGACGAGAAAGGACGGUAUCCCUGGAAUAAGUCACGGCUAACUACGUGCCAGCAGCCGCGGUAAUACGUAGGUGGCGAGCGUUAUCCGGAUUUACUGGGCGUAAAGCGCUUGUAGGUGGCCUUGUAAGUUGGGCGUGAAAGCUCCGGGCUUAACUCGGAGAGGCCGUCCAAUACUGCAGGGCUCGAGGAUGUCAGAGGAAGGUGGAAUUCCUGGUGUAGUGGUGAAAUGCGUAGAUAUCAGGAGGAACACCCGUGGCGAAGGCGGCCUUCUGGGGCAUUCCUGACACUGAGGAAGCGAAAGCUAGGGGAGCGAACGGGAUUAGAUACCCCGGUAGUCCUAGCCGUAAACGAUGGGUGCUAGGUGUUGCCCGUAUCGACCCGGGCAGUGCCGUAGCUAACGCGUUAAGUAUCCCGCCUGGGGAGUACGCUCGCAAGAGUGAAACUCAAAGGAAUUGACGGGGGCCCGCACAAGCGGUGGAGUAUGUGGUUUAAUUCGAUGCAACGCGAAGAACCUUACCAGGGUUUGACAUGUCCGGAACCUCGGUGAAAGCUGAGGGUGCCUUCGGGAACCGGAACACAGGUGCUGCAUGGCUGUCGUCAGCUCGUGUCGUGAGAUGUUGGGUUAAGUCCCGCAACGAGCGCAACCCUUGUCGUUAGUUGCCAGCAUGAAGAUGGGCACUCUAGCGAGACUGCCGGUGACAAACCGGAGGAAGGUAAGGAUGACGUCAAGUCAGCAUGGCCCUUACAUCCUGGGCUACACACGUACUACAAUGCUACGGACAAAGGGCAGCCAACCUGCGAAGGAGAGCAAAUCCCGUAAACCGUGGCACAGUUCAGAUUGCAGGCUGCAACUCGCCUGCAUGAAGGCGGAAUCGCUAGUAAUCGCCGGUCAGCAUACGGCGGUGAAUACGUUCCCGGGCCUUGUACACACCGCCCGUCACACCAUGGGAGUUGGCCACGCCCGAAGUCGUUACUCCAACCGGUGACGGAGGAGGACGCCGAAGGUAGGGCUGAUGACUGGGGUGAAGUCGUAACAAGGUAACGUA